rnacentral:rRNA from 1 species
AGCAUAGCGAUUUGGGAUAAGUCCUUUGGAACAGGGCAUCAUAGAAGGUGAGAAUCCUGUAUAUGAUCUGGCGUUGUAUCUAUGUGUUAUACUUUCAAAGAGUCGGGUUGUUUGGGAAUGCAGCCCAAAAUGGGUGGUAAAUACCAUCUAAAGCUAAAUAUUGGCGAGAGACCGAUAGCGAACAAGUACCGUGAGGGAAAGAUGAAAAGAACUUUGAAAAGAGAGUUAAAUAGUACGUGAAAUUGUCAAAAGGGAAACACUUGAAACCAGUCUUGGUUACGAAAUCCCAACUAGUCUAACGAUUAGCAUAUGUUUUCGUGACCAGGUCGACAUCGGUUUCAAUUGGAGUAUAAAGCUUGUGGAAGGUGGCCUUCGGGUGUUAUAGCCUCAAGUCAUACUCUGGUUGAGACUGAGGUGCC